rnacentral:lncRNA from 1 species
UUAUUUUCAACAAAUAAUAAUGAAUCCGUAGAACACUUUUUCACAUGAAGUGUCAACUGUUGUCGGCUUUGGAUUAAAUGAGAUUUUAUCAAAGAAAAAAGAUUAUCAAAGCUCCAACUUUUUUACAGCUUUUGUAGAAAUUUCCUGUUGAAAUUUAAUAAGGACAAUAUUCUAACCUAUAGGAAGACUUGUUUGCUCUCUUUUAAAAAAGAAAAAAAAAAAAAAAGAAAACAUGAAUCGGUUUAAAAAAAUAUUUUCCUGAUGGUGGCUUAAUUGAAUCUUAAAUGUUUUUUUUAUGGAAGUACCAAAUCCAGAGGAAAAUUCUAAACGGAAAGUCUCUAAUCAAAUGACAAAAUCAGAAUCUCAAACACUACUAACAAAUGGAUAAAAACUGUCAUAUUUCUGACUUGAUACAAACAUUUUCUUAUGUAGAAAUGAUGAUGAAACCUGGUUUUAUAGCUAGCUAAACCUCACACUUGUAUCAUAAUUCUUUUGUUUUUAUAUUUUCAGUUGUCUAUACAGCUACAACAGAGUAGUGACUAUUGGGCAGACAAAGUCCGUGACUUAUCUGGACAAUUAGAGAAAAGCCGUAUCAUCUCUAGUCCCAUCCGACCACGAUAGUCCAUCCACUUCAUUGUCAUUCCGUCCACAUUAUAUUCAUGGAACUUUUUAUUUAUUGUUUAAAUGGAUAAAGUAGUUUUUAGUAGUCAAUUUAUAUAUGUUCAUACAACAAAGUGCUGAAAGCCGUCCAAAAUUUAUUAUUUAUUUUUAAAAAGAAAGAUUUUAGCAUGUUUAUGUAUAUCUUAACCACGUUGUUGUAAUUUAAAUAUUUAUGGAGGGGAAAAAAAUAAUGUACUAGGAACAUGUUUGCCUUGUUCUUUAAAUAUGGUAAAUUAUUUAGAAUAAUAGUUUGUGAAUAUUAUGUUAAAUUUGUUCCAAUCAUGACAGUUUAUCAAGACGAGGAAGUAGAUUACCAUGUUAAUAUAGUUGGGUAAGGGAUCAAAUAUACACCAAAAAUAUCGGUAUUGUUCUUAAAUUGGGGAUUUCCAGUCUACCGAUAUAUGUAACAUUUAUCAAUGCUAUCAUCUAUAAUUAGGCAGCAAAUCUUUAAUUUCUCUUAUGUCUUGAAUUAAAAAAAAUUAAAACCUUUUUUUUUUAAUUUGAGGUUCAUUUGUUUACUAAUGAAGUGAAAUUUAUUAUAUAGGCUGUCCAUUUUUAUUGUGAAAAAGGGAAAAUAGAUAAAUUGAAUAAUAUAAAUCAGCAUUGUAAGUUAGGAUAUUCCCUGCCUAAACAGUAUUCUUGAUAUUUUACUAUUUUUUGGUCACAGAAUUCCAGAUUUUUAUUUCUCACAAUUUUAUUUAUUUAUAUUUUAUUAUUUAAGCUUUUUUUUUUUUUAUUUUGCAAACAUUUAUUAUUAUAUUAAUAAUUGAUAAUUUUAAAUAUCAGUUUUUGAUUUAUUGAUUUGUAUUAUAGUUACAAGCUAUUUUAAGAAACUUAUGUUCACAUAUAUUUUUAAUUUUAUUUAAAAAAAAAAAUUGAGAAUCAGAAGGAACAUUUUAAAAUCAAUUUCAUGAUUUAUUGAUUUUUUAGUAUAUUUAGAAUCUGUAUAAGAAAUUUACACACAAAAUAAUGUCCACAUAAACUUGUAUUUAUUUUUCAAAGUGAGAAACAGUAGAUAAUCAUUUGAAUGUUGUAUUAUUUAAGAAUAGAAGGUUGUUAGGUGCUACAAAUAUUAUGGAUCACCAGUAUUUACAUCUUUUUCGUUUGUUUGAUAUUUUUUUAUUGAUAGAAAGGUCAUAGAAGAUAGUGUUAUUUCUACAGAGCUGAAAAUAAGGACAAGAAAUUUUACUGUAUAAUUAAAAAAAAUUUAAAAAUCUUUUAUUUUUUCAAACAAUAAGUAAAAAUAUCUUUCCAAUUGUUUUGAAAUAAACAAUGUCCAUUAUCAGGCCAUGGUUCUUUUAGAUCUACCAUGACUUGUAAAAAAAGAAACAUGAAAAAGUUAAGAAAUUGAAUGAACUUUUGUCUCCCUUUACAUAAAAGUUCAGAAAUUGAAGUAAGAUUUGUCUCCCUUUACAUAAAAGUUCAGAAAUUUAAGUAAGUUUUGUCUCCCUUUACAUAAAAGUUCAGAAAUUGAAGUAAGAUUUGUCUCCCUUCACAUUAAAGUUUAGAAAUUGAAGUAAGAUUUGUCAUCCAUUAAAUCAGUUCUGUAGUCAUUCCACUAUUUUGUUAAAAGACUGAGUAUCAAAACCAUUAAAGCUAUUAUCUGUGAUUUUGUAUGAGGUAGUAGUGUCUACCCAUACACGUAAAAUAGAUUAUGUAGAUGUCUGGUAGACGUAUGAGAUUUGUAGUGUGUGACAUUGUGUCUCAUUAUAUAUUUGUUUUAUAUUGGUAAUUAAAUUCUGGCUAGAUCCAGCUAAUCUUAUAAA